UUUGAUCAUGGCUCAGGAUGAACGCUGGCGGCGUGCCUAAUACAUGCAAGUCGAGCGAAUGGAUUAAGAGCUUGCUCUUAUGAAGUUAGCGGCGGACGGGUGAGUAACACGUGGGUAACCUGCCCAUAAGACUGGGAUAACUCCGGGAAACCGGGGCUAAUACCGGAUAACAUUUUGAACCGCAUGGUUCGAAAUUGAAAGGCGGCUUCGGCUGUCACUUAUGGAUGGACCCGCGUCGCAUUAGCUAGUUGGUGAGGUAACGGCUCACCAAGGCAACGAUGCGUAGCCGACCUGAGAGGGUGAUCGGCCACACUGGGACUGAGACACGGCCCAGACUCCUACGGGAGGCAGCAGUAGGGAAUCUUCCGCAAUGGACGAAAGUCUGACGGAGCAACGCCGCGUGAGUGAUGAAGGCUUUCGGGUCGUAAAACUCUGUUGUUAGGGAAGAACAAGUGCUAGUUGAAUAAGCUGGCACCUUGACGGUACCUAACCAGAAAGCCACGGCUAACUACGUGCCAGCAGCCGCGGUAAUACGU
rnacentral:rRNA from 1 species